GACUCAAACCCCAGGAUCAAGUACUAAGAAAACAGCCAGAGAGAGACUUUUCCAAUCACCUCCCACAACUGGAGUGAAGAAUCAGGAUACAGUGGACAAAAUAAGACAUGAAGUGUAAGGAUGUUGUUUCAGGCUGCACACGUGUCCCAGAGAAGAAGAAACCAAGCAUCGUGAUAGAACUCUGUUGAGCCAGGCAAAGUAUGAAUGGUCUGAUCUUCCUCCAUCAUGGAAAGAAACUUAUACUGAUUCAUCAAGAAGCAGGGAUAGAAGCCUGUUUAUAUUGUUAUUUAUUUUAGAGACUAUAAAAGUGACUAACCAAAAGAACCAAAACAGGGAUGGUUGGGAAAAACGUGGUUAUCUUUGGGCAGUGAGGCCACCUUGACUGGAAGACUGCCCAAGAGUGAAGGUGACAAAGGAACCAAGAUCAGGAGACCAAGAAAAGAGGACAAUCCAGAUCCAACAAUAUCGCUAGAGUCCCUUGGUCAAGCUGAAUAUGGAAAUGAGCUUUUCCCUAUGUAAGCCAAUAAAGUCUGCUUUUGAGUUGGG